rnacentral:rRNA from 1 species
UACGUAGGGUGCAAGCGUUAAUCGGAAUUACUGGGCGUAAAGCGUGCGCAGGCGGUUUUGUAAGACAGAGGUGAAAUCCCCGGGCUCAACCUGGGAACUGCCUUUGUGACUGCAAGGCUUGAGUGCGGCAGAGGGGGAUGGAAUUCCGCGUGUAGCAGUGAAAUGCGUAGAUAUUCGCAAGAACACCAGUGGCGAAGGCGGCUCACUGGCCCGAUACUGACGCUGAGGCACGAAAGCGUGGGGAGCAAACAGG